rnacentral:rRNA from 1 species
CCAAACGCUGGCGGCGUGCCUAAUACAUGCAAGUCGAGCGAGCUUGCCUAUAGAAGUUCUUCGGAAUGGACAUAGAUACAAGCUAGCGGCGGAUGGGUGAGUAACGCGUGGGUAACCUGCCCUUAAGUCUGGGAUACCAUUUGGAAACAGAUGCUAAUACCGGAUAAAAGCUACUUUCGCAUGAAAGAAGUUUAAAAGGCGGCGUAAGCUGUCGCUAAAGGAUGGACCUGCGAUGCAUUAGCUAGUUGGUAAGGUAACGGCUUACCAAGGCGAUGAUGCAUAGCCGAGUUGAGAGACUGAUCGGCCACAUUGGGACUGAGACACGGCCCAAACUCCUACGGGAGGCAGCAGUAGGGAAUCUUCCACAAUGGACGAAAGUCUGAUGGAGCAACGCCGCGUGAGUGAAGAAGGUUUUCGGAUCGUAAAGCUCUGUUGUUGGUGAAGAAGGAUAGAGGUAGUAACUGGCCUUUAUUUGACGGUAAUCAACCAGAAAGUCACGGCUAACUACGUGCCAGCAGCC